rnacentral:rRNA from 1 species
UACGAAGGGUGCUAGCGUUGUUCGGAAUUACUGGGCGUAAAGCGUGCGCAGGCGGCUUUUUAAGCUAGAGGUGAAAUGCCAGGGCUCAACCCUGGAACUGCCUUUAGAACUGAAAAGCUAGGGACUCGGAGGGGUUAGGGGAAUUUCUAAUGUAGCGGUGAAAUGCGUAGAUAUUAGAAGGAACACCAGUGGCGAAGGUGCCUAACUGGACGAGUACUGACGCUCAUGCACGAAAGCGUGGGGAUCAAACAGG